rnacentral:tRNA from 1 species
GUCCCCGUCGUCUAGCCAGGUCCAGGACACCGGGUUUUCAUCCCGGCAACACGGGUUCGAAUCCCGUCGGGGGUA